rnacentral:rRNA from 1 species
UAACUGAAGAGUUUGAUCAUGGCUCAGAUUGAACGCUGGCGGCAGGCUUAACACAUGCAAGUCGAGCGGGGUGAUGUAGCUUGCUACAUUACCUAGCGGCGGACGGGUGAGUAAUGCUUAGGAAUCUGCCUAUUAGUGGGGGACAACAUUCCGAAAGGAAUGCUAAUACCGCAUACGCCCUACGGGGGAAAGCAGGGGAUCUUCGGACCUUGCGCUA